rnacentral:rRNA from 1 species
UACGGGGGGGGCAAGCGUUGUUCGGAAUUACUGGGCGUAAAGGGUUUGUAGGUGGCUUGCUAAGUCAGACGUGAAAUCCCUCAGCUUAACUGAGGAACUGCGUCUGAGACUGGCAAGCUUGAGUGCAGGAGAGGAACGCGGAAUUCCAGGUGUAGCGGUGAAAUGCGUAGAUAUCAGGAGGAACACCAAUGGCGAAGGCAGCACUCUGGGACGUGACUGACGCUGAGACGCGAAAGCGUGGGGAGCAAACAGG